AAAGACUUGACGGUACUUCACACCUACCUAGAGGAGCCUGUCUAAUAACCGAUAAUCCACGAUUAACCCCACCCGCCCUUGCCUUAACAGUCUAUAUACCGCCGUCGCCAGCUUACCUUGUGAAAGAAAUAAAGUGAGCAAAAUUGGACCCCCCACAUACGACAGGUCGAGGUGUAACUAAUGGGCUGGUAAAAGAUGGGCUACAUUUUCUAAUGCAGAAAAUAACGAACAAACUAUGAAACUAGAAACUGAAGGCGGAUUUAGCAGUAUGAUAAGAAUAGAAAACUUAUCUGAAACACGCAAUGAAGUGCGCACACACCGCCCGUCAUCCCUG
rnacentral:rRNA from 1 species